GACGAACGCUGGCGGCGUGCCUAAUACAUGCAAGUCGAGCGGACCUCUUCGGAGGUCAGCGGCGGACGGGUGAGUAACACGUGGGCAACCUGCCUGUAAGACUGGGAUAACUCCGGGAAACCGGAGCUAAUACCGGAUAUUAUUUCAAACCGCAUGGUUUGAAAUUCAAAGACGGUUUCGGCUGUCACUUACAGAUGGGCCCGCGGCGCAUUAGCUAGUUGGUGAGGUAAUGGCUCACCAAGGCAACGAUGCGUAGCCGACCUGAGAGGGUGAUCGGCCACACUGGGACUGAGACACGGCCCAGACUCCUACGGGAGGCAGCAGUAGGGAAUCUUCCGCAAUGGACGAAAGUCUGACGGAGCAACGCCGCGUGAGUGAUGAAGGUUUUCGGAUCGUAAAACUCUGUUGUCAGGGAAGAACAAGUGCCGGAGUAACUGCCGGCACCUUGACGGUACCUGACCAGAAAGCCACGGCUAACUACGUGCCAGCAGCCGCGGUAA
rnacentral:rRNA from 1 species